UCCCCUCACGACCCUCGUCCCAGCCGCCGCCUCACGCGCCUGUCCUCGCCCACGACGCGUCCCCUCCCGCUCCCCUCCUUGCCCCGUGCCCAGCUGAGUGUACGUCGCCGUCAGCUUCAUCCUCGCUGAAGGAAUCGUCCAGGGGGAGCCGAAAUCGACCCGGGCCGCUCGGGGCGGCUGCCCUACCUCCCGCUCAGCCACGACCCACCCGCGCUCGCCGGCGGCUGCUCUUGCUCCCGCUUGACCGCGAACCACCCGCGCUCGCCGGCGCGAACAAGCUUGGGAAGGGGAAAAGGUGGAGCUCGUCAGGAGAUGGGUUGGCUGUUGGGGAUUCCCUCAUCUCCAUGUUGUUGGUGACAAAAAACUUGAAACUCUAGGCAAGAAGGGUUCAAGUGGCAUCUGAGCUCGCUGCUGGUAAUCAACAACCAUAGUCUUGGCAUCAAUGCUUUCUAGGAAGGUCUAACAUUUCAAUGGGUGCAAAUCAUCCCAACAUGUAUUUCCCUUCUCAUGAUAUUUACAAUAUAUACCUAUACUGUAAAUAUUUCUUAGUUUUAUAAUUUCUGGACCAUGAUCCUGGAUUUUGGAUUGCUAAUACAACAAUUGUUUCAUUUUGCAGCAUUAUAUAAUGCUACGUUUAUCUCAAAUGUCUUAUCACUGGUAUAUGAAAGGGAUUCUUUUUGAUGUUAUCAUGUCAGUUGAUGCAUGCCAUUGUGAUUUACUGCUC